rnacentral:rRNA from 1 species
UACAGAGGUCUCGAGCGUUAGGCGGAAUCACUGGGCUUAAAGCGUGUGUAGGCGGAUCGGUAAGUACCUUGUGAAAUCCCACAGCUUAACUGUGGAACUGCUUGGUAUACUGCCAGUCUUGAGCCACUUAGGGGCUACCGGAACAAAUGGUGGAGCGGUGAAGUGCGUAGAUAUCAUUUGGAACGCCAAUGGUGAAAACAGGUAGCUGGGAGUGUGCUGACGCUGAGAUACGAAAGCGUGGGUAGCAAACAGG